GACGAACGCUGGCGGCGUGCUUAACACAUGCAAGUAGAACGGGAAGGCCCUGCUUUUGUGGGGUGCUCGAAUGGCGAACGGGUGAGUAACACGGGAGUAACCUGCCCUCGACUUUGGGAUAACUUCAGGAAACUGGGGCUAAUAUCGGAUAGGAGCCACUGCUGCAUGGUGGGGGAUGGAAAGUUUCGGCGGUUGGGGAUGGACUCGCGGCUUAUCAGCUUGUUGGUGGGGUAGUGGCUUACCAAGGCUUUGACGGGUAGCCGGCGUGAGAGGGUGACCUGCCACAUGGGGCCUGCGGUACGGCCCAGCCUCCUACGGGGGGCAGCAGUGGGGAAUCUUGCACACUGGGCGGAAGCCUCAUGCAGCAACGCCGCGUGCGGGAUGCCGGCCUUCGGGUUGUAAUCCGCUUUCGCCUGUGACGAAGCGUGAGUGACGGUAAUGGGUAAAGAAGCACCGGCUACCUCCGUG
rnacentral:rRNA from 1 species